rnacentral:miRNA from 1 species
AUUGACUUCUGAAAGGCUAAAAGC